rnacentral:sRNA from 1 species
GUGAUUAAAAGAGAAAGAAGAGGAAUGUGCUUCGCGUUGGGCCGUCAGUUUCAGUAUUUGGUAACUUUUUUCCUUAAUAUUAGAUGGCUAAGUGAUAGUGUAUCUGGAUUUUUAGAUUUUCCUUUACUUUCAUCUAUGAUUUACAAGUACUCUAAAGUGAAUAAGCAAGAAACUACUAAUGAAUGAAUAAAAUAUGAUUUUAGCUGGAGAGCAGCAAUAAGUAAUACGUACACACCAUUAGGAAGUAGCUACCAUAAUAAACAAUCUUCUCUGGAUAUAGUUAUUUAUACUAAAAUUCACAACGACCCUAACCGCAGCUGCAACAACUGCUUCCACCAAGAGAACAAAACGGGGCACUGACAAAGUUCCACUCCAUCUUGGCAGCAAAGUGUAUGUUUCUAAAAGUGAUUUGAUGAGAAUAUAUAUUCCCAAUGCUUGCAUAUAUACGUCGCGAUUGAGUGAACUGGUGUUUGGCUUGGAAACUCUAAAAAAUGUUUCCAAGGCUGCAGCAAAGGACCAUUUGCGACUUCUCGACGAUGAACUGCUAAAGUCUAUUAAAACUCACAUCGUGCAAGUGUUUUCCAAGGUAGGAGAAACGGAGGUGGACGAGUCGACGGUAUUGCGUUUCAUUGAGCAGAAAAUUGCAAACAUGUCAUCAUCAAAGUGAGCGGCUGAAAAAUAGCAUUAAUGUGAUGAAUGCGUUCAUAACAUUGUGUUCCAAAAUAUAGCUCAGAUAGUUGAUUUUUGUCUUGUUUUCGUAACUUUAAGGUUUUAUAUCUGAAUAAUGUUUUUUUUUUAUAUACAUUGCCAUAAUGUCACCAUCAAUUGAGCAAACUAAAAAAAAAUAGCAUUAAUGUGAUGAUUGUGUCCAUAGCAUUGUGUGCUCGAUCAGCGCAUUUUUAUAUAAAUAAAUAAACUAUUUUUAUGCUUUGAAUGACAAAGUUAAUUAUUUUUACGUGUGUUUUAAAACUCAAUAAAUGCCAAUAAUCUUUGUAAA